UACGUAGGGUGCAAGCGUUAAUCGGAAUUACUGGGCGUAAAGCGUGCGCAGGCGGUGAUGUAAGACAGUUGUGAAAUCCCCGGGCUCAACCUGGGAACUGCAUCUGUGACUGCAUCGCUGGAGUGCGGCAGAGGGGGAUGGAAUUCCGCGUGUAGCAGUGAAAUGCGUAGAUAUGCGGAGGAGCACCGAUGGCGAAGGCAAUCCCCUGGGCCUGCACUGACGCUCAUGCACGAAAGCGUGGGGAGCAAAAGGG
rnacentral:rRNA from 1 species